GACGAACGCUGGCGGCGUGCUUAACACAUGCAAGUCGAACGGAAAGGCCCUGCUUUUGUGGGGUGCUCGAGUGGCGAACGGGUGAGUAACACGUGAGUAACCUGCCCUUGACUUUGGGAUAACUUCAGGAAACUGGGGCUAAUACCGGAUAGGAGCGCCUGCUGCACGGUGGGGGUUGGAAAGUUUCGGCGGUUGGGGAUGGACUCGCGGCUUAUCAGCUUGUUGGUGGGGUAGUGGCUUACCAAGGCUUUGACGGGUAGCCGGCCUGAGAGGGUGACCGGCCACAUUGGGACUGAGAUACGGCGCAGACUCCUACGGGAGGCAGCAGUGGGGAAUAUUGCACAGUGGGCGGAAGCCUGAUGCAGCAACGCCGCGUGCGGGAUGACGGCCUUCGGGUUGUAAACCGCUUUCGCCUGUGACGAAGCGUGAGUGACGGUAAUGGGUAAAGAAGCACCGGCUAACUACGUG
rnacentral:rRNA from 1 species